UGAGGAAUAUUGGGCAAUGCCCGAAAGGGUGACCCAGCAACGCCGCGUGGAGGAUGAAGGUCGUAAGAUUGUAAACUCCUGUUAGAGGGGACGAAUAGCACCGAUCGACUCGGUGUUUGACUGUACCCUCAGAGAAAGCCCCGGCUACCUACGUGCCAGCAGCCGCGGUAAUACGUAGGCUCCAAGCGUUGUCCGGAUUUAUUGGGCGUAAAGAGCUCGUAGGCGGGUUAGUCAGUCGGGUGUUAAACC
rnacentral:rRNA from 1 species